AGAGUUUGAUCCUGGCUUAAAAGUGAACGCUGGCGGUAGGCCUAACACAUGCAAGCUCGAACGGCAGCACGGUAAGAGCUUGCUCUUAUGGGUGGCGAGUGGCGGACGGGUGAGGAAUACAUCGGAAUCUACCUUUUGGUGGGGGAUAACGUAGGGAAACUUACGCUAAUACCGCAUACGCCCUUCGGGGGAAAGCCGGGGACCAGCAAUGGCCUGGCGCUGAUAGAUGAGCCGAUGUCGGAUUAGCUAGUUGGUGAGGUAAUGGCUCACCAAGGCGACGAUCCGUAGCUGGUCUGAGAGGAUGAUCAGCCACACUGGAACUGAGACACGGUCCAGACUCCUACGGGAGGCAGCAGUGGGGAAUAUUGGACAAUGGGCGCAAGCCUGAUCCAGCCAUACCGCGUGGGUGAAGAAGGCCUUCGGGUUGUAAAGCCCUUUUGUUGGGAAAGAAAAGCAUUCGGUUAAUACCCGGGUGUUCUGACGGUACCCAAAGAAUAAGCACCGGCUAACUUCGUGCCAGCAGCCGCGGUAAUUC
rnacentral:rRNA from 1 species